rnacentral:rRNA from 1 species
CGCUAGCUACAGGCUUAACACAUGCAAGUCGAGGGGCAGCAUGGUCUUAGCUUGCUAAGGCCGAUGGCGACCGGCGCACGGGUGAGUAACACGUAUCCAACCUGCCGUCUACUCUUGGACAGCCUUCUGAAAGGAAGAUUAAUACAAGAUGGCAUCAUGAGUCCGCAUGUUCACAUGAUUAAAGGUAUUCCGGUAGACGAUGGGGAUGCGUUCCAUUAGAUAGUAGGCGGGGUAACGGCCCACCUAGUCUUCGAUGGAUAGGGGUUCUGAGAGGAAGGUCCCCCACAUUGGAACUGAGACACGGUCCAAACUCCUACGGGAGGCAGCAGUGAGGAAUAUUGGUCAAUGGGUGAGAGCCUGAACCAGCCAAGUAGCGUGAAGGAUGACUGCCCUAUGGGUUGUAAACUUCUUUUAUAAAGGAAUAAAGUCGGGUAUGGAUACCCGUUUGCAUGUACUUUAUGAAUAAGGAUCGGCUAACUCCGUGCCAGCAGCCGCGGUAAUACGGAGGAUCCGAGCGUUAUCCGGAUUUAUUGGGUUUAAAGGGAGCGUAGAUGGAUGUUUAAGUCAGUUGUGAAAGUUUGCGGCUCAACCGUAAAAUUGCAGUUGAUACUGGAUAUCUUGAGUGCAGUUGAGGCAGGCGGAAUUCGUGGUGUAGCGGUGAAAUGCUUAGAUAUCACGAAGAACUCCGAUUGCGAAGGCAGCCUGCUAAGCUGCAACUGACAUUGAGGCUCGAAAGUGUGGGUAUCAAACAGGAUUAGAUACCCUGGUAGUCCACACGGUAAACGAUGAAUACUCGCUGUUUGCGAUAUACAGCAAGCGGCCAAGCGAAAGCGUUAAGUAUUCCACCUGGGGAGUACGCCGGCAACGGUGAAACUCAAAGGAAUUGACGGGGGCCCGCACAAGCGGAGGAACAUGUGGUUUAAUUCGAUGAUACGCGAGGAACCUUACCCGGGCUUAAAUUGCAGAUGAAUUACGGUGAAAGCCGUAAGCCGCAAGGCAUCUGUGAAGGUGCUGCAUGGUUGUCGUCAGCUCGUGCCGUGAGGUGUCGGCUUAAGUGCCAUAACGAGCGCAACCCUUGUUGUCAGUUACUAACAGGUCAUGCUGAGGACUCUGACAAGACUGCCAUCGUAAGAUGUGAGGAAGGUGGGGAUGACGUCAAAUCAGCACGGCCCUUACGUCCGGGGCUACACACGUGUUACAAUGGGGGGUACAGAGGGCCGCUACCACGCGAGUGGAUGCCAAUCCCAAAAACCUCUCUCAGUUCGGACUGGAGUCUGCAACCCGACUCCACGAAGCUGGAUUCGCUAGUAAUCGCGCAUCAGCCACGGCGCGGUGAAUACGUUCCCGGGCCUUGUACACACCGCCCGUCAAGCCAUGGGAGCCGGGGGUACCUGAAGUGCGUAACCGCGAGGAGCGCCCUAGGGUAAAACUGGUGACU